UUGCCGUCGCUAAUUUCAGUC
rnacentral:siRNA from 1 species